ensembl:lncRNA
CUUCAGAUGAAGAUGUAGAACUCUCAGCUCCUCCUGUACCAUGCCUGCCUGGAUGCUGCCAUGUUCCCAUCUUGAUGAUAAUGAAUUAAACCUCUGAACCUAUGGUUGUCACUGCUGCCUCAGUCUGAACAUACAGUGAUGUCCCCGACCAUCUCAGCCUGCCCACACUUGCUGAUCCCUCGUUCCCGUUACCGUCUGCUUCGGCCGGGGCAGCAGCGUUAUCUCUUCUCAUUCAAAAUAUUUCUGUCCAAUGUUUGUGGAGAAGCUGUAUAUGUACAUCAGGAAAGUUUCAUUGCUAUUGGUUGUAAAAACAUGAAUUAAAAUCUGGAGCUGGAGAGAGGGCUCAACAGUAAAGAGUACUUGAUACUCUUGUAGAGGACUCCAGUUUGGUUCUCAGCACUCGCAUGACGCUUUACAACCAUCCAUAACUCCAGUCCUGGGCCUCUGGCACACUCUUCUGACCUCCACAGGCACACAUGUGGUGCACAGACACACAUAUGCAUAAGAUAAAAAUUUUGAAUUAAAA